AUGCGGGAGACUCUUUAGCGGCUCUCGACAGCGAGAGGUGCGAUGUGAAAUGGCCGGCUGGGUUAUCGGCUCCCGAAGCGGUGGGAGCAUGAGAAACUGGGGCGCGGGGAUGCGUGAGAGCUUCUGGGCCUCCGCCAGAGCGGCUCCGACAGCCGUCCGGCUCGACCUUCACGGGGCGGAAGCAUGGCUGCCUUUUAACACACUCAUCCUACUGUGCAACGAGGAGGAGCUACAGCACACGUAUGAAGUCACGGAGACCUAACUUGGGAGAGUCUUCAACGAACGCGUCGUGGGGGCGGACAUGUCGGCUCUGCAAGGUUGGUGAGCUUCUAUACCAUUGUUGCUGCGGGAACAAGGCUGUGGGAUUUCCUCUGGCCCGAGUAUCACAGCAAUCAGAGCUGAGGAAAGGGACACAGCUGGAGAAGGAGAGGUGGCCUUGGGCAGGGAGGGAGGUAGAGAGAGACAGA